GCCGCCACUCCUCUCCAAAUCCUAACUUUGUCUGGCUGUGGAAGAGGCUGCGAGGCCAUCCACACCCGGCUACGCCAUCCGGCCCCGAACUCCAGUCGAUGCCAUCCGCAACCUCCAACGACAUCCAUAGCCUCUGACGCUAGCCGCCUGCGACGAAGCUGUCCGCACCCACUGACGCCGUUCACAACUCUAGUCGCCACCAACGGCAGCACUCGUCAUCGACAUCUCCGCAUCAAGAUGGCUCCUGGUAGGAAGGGCGGAAACCAGAAGUCAACUACUCAUGAGCCAGUAGAGACGCCCAUGACUGAUUAUGAGCUGCAAAGGGCAUACAACAUUCUCGAGAAAAAUCGGAUGUUCCAGCGACUUGGUUUGGGAAAGUUACGUGAACUUGUGGGAACAAAGCCUGUGGUUGUUGCUCGUGAAGAAUCUGACCCAUUGUAUGAAUCUAGAGAGUCCAUAAUGAGUUCUAAACAUAAAACAUGGCUGACUGGAAAACAACUUUCUCCACAUUAAGGGAAAUCAAAGCUAGAAAGAAGCCAUCAUAGCAAGGAUUCUAGAAGGUGUGGCCUUCCUAUUUCUUGUUGGGCUAUUGAUUUAUAGAUAUGGCGUUCUAGAAAACCAAAUCCUCAGAGAACACUGUCAGAUGCAAAGACAUGGAGAGAUUCAGCAACUUCAGUUAUUUGCUCCUGGCACCAAGAAUAAUUAGCUGCUAGCACUGUCUGUUAGGACUAUUAGUUUGGUGACAAAGGUCACUUGUGAGACAGGGAUGUGAAAUAUCCAUCUGUUUAUUUUGUCUAACAUACCUUUGUGACCAAGGUCAAUUCUUGAAUAAUUACUUUGGUGUUUGCGAUGAAUAUAACAAAGAUGUUGAUGUGUGACUUGUGAACUUGUGUAUUUGGUCGUGAAUGGAAUAUAUUGUUAGGCACACAUGUUAUUU